CAACCACAAUUAAAUAUUUUGAACUUCACGCCUAAAAAAACUAAAUCAAUAGAGCAAAAAAUAUAUUGUUAAAAUGUAUUUAAAAUGACCACAUGUUUAUGUGCGUGACGUUAACGUGUGUGAGUGUAUGGAGUUUGUGUGUUACUCUGUUGGGUUAUGUGCAUUGGUGUAUGGUGUUAGCAUGUGGCCGGCCCUGUAUGGUGUAAAUGUAAGCAUAUACUGUUUAAUUGUGUGGGGUCACCAAAGAAAUACUGCACCCAGGUUCCACUAACCCCUGUUGGCAGACACUGUUUUGGGUUGGAAGGCAGAGAGAAAGGAAGACAGAGAAGGAAAA